rnacentral:misc_RNA from 1 species
GAUGAAGAACGUAGCGAAAUGCGAUAAGUAAUGUGAAUUGCAGAAUUCAGUGAAUCAUCGAAUCUUUGAACGCACAUUGCGCCCGCCAGUAUUCUGGCGGGCAUGCCUGUUCGAGCGUCAUUACAACCCUCAGGCCCCCGGGCCUGGCGUUGGGGAUCGGCGGAAGCCCCCUGCGGGCACAACGCCGUCCCCCAAAUACAGUGGCGGUCCCGCCGCAGCUUCCAUUGCGUAGUAGCUAACACCUCGCAACUGGAGAGCGGCGCGGCCACGCCGUAAAACACCCAACUUCUGAAUGUUGACCUCGAAUCAGGUAGGAAUACCCGCCGAACUUAAGCAUAUCAAUAAGCGGAGGA